rnacentral:lncRNA from 1 species
GACACUGAAGGACAUUCUGGACCCUGAAGCAGCAGAUCCAGAGCUGAAGUGGAGAAGCCCGUGGACUCGCACCUCUGCCAGCAAACCCUGAGCCGACUUUGCUCCAGAAAACCACCCUGACUUCCAUAUUUCAGUUCAUUAAAACAGCAUACUGCUGCAAGGAUGUGGCGAUAUUAAACAACAUUUUUCCAGCAACAAAAGGUCAGUUGCUUGUUUCUUUCUUAACCUUUCAGCCCAUUUUCAGAGUUCAAAAACAGCAUGGAUUUAAUGGGUUCUGGCACCCAUUUGCAUGCACGCGAACGUACAUUCUUCCUUUACAAAAUGGAAAGGAAAAAAACGCUGAUAUAUGUGUUUUUCAGGAAAAAGACACAUAGGUGAAACUGAACAUGCUCCUCUCUUGUCUCGUUCUCAGAGUGAAAGGUAUUCAGGGAGAGGACAACGUCGCCCCACUGAACAAUUUACUGCCCUUCUCUGGGAAUUCCACAUGAUCCAGGCGCAGACCUCACACAUCUCCUCUGACAACGACUCCGAACACGACCGAACAGACCCGGGAGGCAGCGGGCCGCUCAUCAAAGCAGAAAGGGUUCUGAAACAGCAGAGCAGAGCCACAUCGUCAGGACUUCAGCAAAACUCUCCUGCUCUGCUGGAUUCCACACCUGCUGUCAGGUUCAGCAGCUGCUGGAGUUUGAGCACAGUGUCCUGCUGCAGCCCGUCUGGUCUCCACCUGCAGGAAGAUGUUGGAAAGUUUCCCCUAAUCUGGUUGGUGCAUCUGAACACCAUUAUGCCGCCAUCUGCAUCACAAUGGCCUCCUAAUCCACAAGAAGCCUCCCGAAUUAACCGCAGAGGCUCGCUGUCACGUCCGGGGUUUCCACCCACCGAUUCCUGCCCUCCCCUAAUCUGGUAAGUGCCAUGGCUCCCUUUUAGGUUAUCAAGUUGCAACUAGAAGACUUUAAAUCCACAGUAGACUCAACAGCUUUUGUCAGAGGUCUGCAGUUAGUUCGCAAAUUUGCAUUUCACUGACAGCACAAGUUUUAAG